AACCAUCAACUGUUCCAAUAUCCAGCUCCUCCACCCAGGAAACAACUUCAUCUCCUCCACCCAGCCCCUCCCCAGAGGGGACCACAUCAACCCUUUCAACCUUCCUGAAUGGAAACAUUCUGCCAGUGACUCUUUCUCCAGAGACAUCCCCUCCUGGUGAGCUCACCAGCUUGUCCACUUCCAGUGUCAGCAACACACCCACAGUGACAACAGAGGUGUCCACCACAACAGC
rnacentral:lncRNA from 1 species